UACGAAGGGGGCUAGCGUUGUUCGGAAUUACUGGGCGUAAAGCGCACGUAGGCGGAUCGGUCAGUCAGGGGUGAAAUCCCAGGGCUCAACCCUGGAACUGCCUUUGAUACUGUCGAUCUGGAGUAUGGAAGAGGUGAGUGGAAUUCCGAGUGUAGAGGUGAAAUUCGUAGAUAUUCGGAGGAACACCAGUGGCGAAGGCGGCUCACUGGUCCAUUACUGACGCUGAGGUGCGAAAGCGUGGGGAGCAAACAGG
rnacentral:rRNA from 1 species